rnacentral:piRNA from 1 species
UUUUCAGUAAACAAAGAGAAG